rnacentral:rRNA from 1 species
CAGUCGCCGCGGGAAAACGAAGGGUGCAAGCGUUACUCGGAAUUACUGGGCUUAAAGCGUGCGUAGGUGGUGGUUUAAGUCCGUUGUGAAAGCCCUGGGCUCAACCUGGGAAUUGCAGCGGAUACUGGAUCACUAGAGUGUGGUAGAGGAUAGUGGAAUUUCCGGUGUAGCAGUGAAAUGCGUAGAGAUCGGAAGGAACAUCUGUGGCGAAGGCGACUAUCUGGGCCAACACUGACACUGAGGCACGAAAGCGUGGGGAGCAAACAGGAUUAGAUACCCGCGUAGUCCCUGUCUCUUAUAC